GGCAGUUUGUCAGCCUCCGGACCUGGGUGCUGGGAAUCGAAGGCGGUUCUCAAGAAAGAGCAGUAGCACCACUAGUUUCCGCUCCUUCCUGGUGGCUGCCUAGCCUGGUAUUAAAGUCUUCAUUUUGGCUUGUCUGAGAAUAAUUCUCUGAGGUCUUAUUGCUUAACUCCUGGGAAGCAGGGGCUUGGUGAAUCUGAACAGCUUCAUGGACUCCCUGGAGUUAUUUGAGUUGCUUUGGGCUUAAGGAGCUUCCCUGCAGGAUGGAACGUUUCAAUCUAGGAGGAAACUGCUAUACAAGAGGCAGGAGAAUGCUAAGUUUGAUACUACCUGAGCCACAAAGUAAGCACAAGAAACCAGCUUCAUCUUCAUAGCGAAACUCUAUUGAACAAGACAAAACAAAAUGGCUGAGUGUGUUGACACAUUCCUGUAAUUCCAGCCCCAAGAUGGGGAGGCAGAAAAUCUGGACUUCAAGUUCCUCCUCAGUUUGAGUCUAGUUCAAGCUGCAAAGACCCUGGUUCAAAACCAACCAACCAACCAACCAACCAACCAACCAACCAUCAAUGAAAAGGAGUGAGAACAAUUUUACCCUAAAGUACUCCUAUUAAAGUUGUGCACCAGCUAGGCAUGAGGUUGUUUGUCUGCAGUCCCAGAAACUCAGGAGGCAAAGACAGAAACCAGGAAAUUCCAGUCCAGCAUCAGCAUCAUAACAGAUUCCUCUCAAAAGCCUGGUAAGAUGGCUCUGAGGUUCCAUAGUCCAAGAUGCUUCAGUGGACUCUAUAUGCUCUGGGAGAUGCAGAUUUUGGGCAGCUGAGAGAUGGCCAGACUUCAGUUUGAAGCACACCUGAUGGGUUACUCACAACCACUUUGAAGUCCUUGUGAAUCUGAUGUGUGUGGCUUCUCAUCUGCACAUACCCAAGUAGAGGCACAAACACAUAAUUACAAAUAAAUAUUUAA